CAAGGACCGGUCCACGUGUAUUCGCCGCCCCUCCCCCGCCGGGUCUCUUUGGAACCCCGACUCCUGUCGCUGGCCUGUGAUUUGGCUGUGCAGCCAGUGUCUCCAUGUAUUUCCGCAUCUUCUCAACCAUCCAGGAUGGCAGAACAAAGGAUUUCAGCUCCUCCAACUUCAGGUCCAAGCAUCCUCUGAAGGAGACAUGGGAUGGACAUUAAAGGGAGGGUGACGGUCUCGUCCAUGUGCCUAGUGAGGCAGAAGGCAGGAUGGGGAAAGGGGUCUUCGUUGUACCUGUAGUCAUCGCUGGCAGCCAAGUCCCGGAUGUCUUCUUCAAUGAGAAGGAGUUCCAGAUACACAUACUGACUGAAAGGCCACUAUCUGAUGGACCAUCGAUGGGGCCAUGACAUGGCUGGGUGCGGGGCAUGAGAGGUGUCUAAAGGACGGAUGGAACAGGCAGAAAGUCUCUCUUGAAGAGCUAACCCUUGAAGUUACUUCUGGAAGGGAAUGACGUGAGUGCGAGGCAGCUGAGAAAGCACAGACAACUGGAGCUCCUAGCCACACUGACGGGGGCCCAGAGUCUCGGCCACUGUCAAUGUUCACACAAGCAUACCUUGGGGCCUUCUCGGCGAAUUGGUUCACAGGAUUUUUGUUUCCAUCUGCUCAGAAGGAAAAAAGACAGCAGCUGCCCUGAGCUCAACCCGGAUGUAAGUGGCUUCCUGAUGUCCCCCAAGUACCACUAAU
rnacentral:lncRNA from 1 species